CGGGGCUGCAGUUUGGAGGAGAAAAGCAGGAGAGCUAGAAGAAGGAAUGCAGGGGGAAACCUGGUGUGCUUCUUGGGCAGCACACGGGUCCGGUGGGGAGGAGAGCCGACACGAACGGGACAAGCCCACUCGAUCUUCCACACAACACGUCACCCAGAGCAGAGACUGCCUAUCUCAAGUGUGUUUAUUUCUUUUUGGCUGAACAUGCCACGAGCUCAUGGGAAAUCACCAGGGGAAGGUGACCUUCACAGCAGUUGUCCUCCUGUCCCAUGAACCAACAGCCACUUCCUGAGAGAGACUCGUCACAGUUACUGUGUUACUCAGGGACUCCUCCAGAA